rnacentral:lncRNA from 1 species
GUGGCCCAUGGUGCUAAAUUAACUGUUAACACAAAUAAUCAAAGUACAAGGCCCAUCAAGCCGCUGGCGCCAGCAAAAUGAGGGAGAGGCCAGGUCAGCCUUGCUCCAAAGAGCCAGGCCACUAGCAGGUGGAGACGAACCAAGGGACCGGACAGGAUGGAAGUGCUUACAGAACACAGUGACCAACUGACAGAGGAAAACGCCACUGCACUCCCGCCUUCCAGCUAUUGUGUGGGCCCAGGGUUUGAGGUCCAUCCAGCAGCCUCUCGGGGGACCCAAGGUUGUCUGCCCAAGUGUGGUGUCACAGUCGGAUAAAUGAGAUGAGAUACACCCUGCAUUCAGCCCACGUACACAGGCAUCACACACAGUGCUCUGCCAUGAUAUCAUGGUAUGUUUAUUAUAUAGGUUUUUGGUAUACAUACAUAAUCAAUUGUCUACGUAUGUGACAUUCUACAGUUUGAUUGGAUAUUAUCAAAUCACCUAAACAACACUCUUGUGAUGUUACUACAACAAAGAAUUCUGUGAUCAUUUACUAGGUUUCUACAACACUCUGUGAUACAUAUGAUUAAUGUGAAUAAAGCCAUUUGUAGGUCAGUACCCCUUGACCUG